rnacentral:tRNA from 1 species
GGGGAUGUAGCUCAAUGAUAGAGUACUUGCUUAGCAUGCAAGAGGUCCUGGGUUCAUUCCCCAGUAUCACUG